rnacentral:lncRNA from 1 species
CACAAAAAUUUUGGCCUUCCGUUUUAUUGCUGCAAUGUGUUGCUGGGGGCCUGUUAGUAAUAACAAGACACAUCGUUUGCUGAAGUAUACAACAGAUAAUUG